AAUAGAUACCCUGGUAGUCCACGCCGUAAACGAUGUCGACUUGGAGGUUGUUCCCUUGAGGAGUGGCUUCCGGAGCUAACGCGUUAAGUCGACCGCCUGGGGAGUACGGCCGCAAGGUUAAAACUCAAAUGAAUUGACGGGGGCCCGCACAAGCGGUGGAGCAUGUGGUUUAAUUCGAUGCAACGCGAAGAACCUUACCUACUCUUGACAUCCAGAGAACUUAGCAGAGAUGCUUUGGUGCCUUCGGGAACUCUGAGACAGGUGCUGCAUGGCUGUCGUCAGCUCGUGUUGUGAAAUGUUGGGUUAAGUCCCGCAACGAGCGCAACCCUUAUCCUUUGUUGCCAGCGGUUAGGCCGGGAACUCAAAGGAGACUGCCAGUGAUAAACUGGAGGAAGGUGGGGAUGACGUCAAGUCAUCAUGGCCCUUACGAGUGGGGCUACACACGUGCUACAAUGGCGCAUACAAAGAGAAGCGACCUCGCGAGAGCAAGCGGACCUCAUAAAGUGCGUCGUAGUCCGGA
rnacentral:rRNA from 1 species